rnacentral:rRNA from 1 species
GACGAACGCUGGCGGCGUGCCUAAUACAUGCAAGUCGAGCGAGCGGAACCAGCAGAUCUGCUUCGGCAGUGACGCUGGGAAAGCGAGCGGCGGAUGGGUGAGUAACACGUGGGGAACCUGCCCCAAAGUCUGGGAUACCACUUGGAAACAGGUGCUAAUACCGGAUAAGAAAGCAGAUCGCAUGAUCAGCUUUUAAAAGGCGGCGUAAGCUGUCGCUAUGGGAUGGCCCCGCGGUGCAUUAGCUAGUUGGUAGAGUAACGGCCUACCAAGGCAAUGAUCAUAGCCGAGUUGAGAGACUGAUCGGCCACAUUGGGACUGAGACACGGCCCAAACUCCUACGGGAGGCAGCAGUAGGGAAUCUUCCACAAUGGUCGCAAGUCUGAUGGAGCAACGCCGCGUGAGUGAAGAAGGUUUUCGGAUCGUAAAGCUCUGUUGUUGGUGAAGAAGGAUAGAGGUAGUAA